AUUUAAGUAGUUUAUAAAAAUAUGGGCUUGUGGAGCCUGAGAUGUAGUUAUUACCUUAAAUA
rnacentral:tRNA from 1 species